UGUCUAUCUCUAUGUGUACCUUUUAUAGUGCUUAUAAGUAAAAUGCAGAGUCGAAAUCUUCAUGCUUUAAUGUAAAGCAUUAGUAAGGUUACAUAUUACAACAGAAAUGGGAAUCAAAAUCUUAAAUCUAAAAGUUGAGAGGUCUUAACAAAAAAGCUAACUCAACUUAGCUUUACAAUUUAUAAAUCAAGGAAACAAUACUUUAUCAAUUGUAUGUUAUGAUCUUCUCCAACAGGUAAUUGACAACAUCAAAAAGUAAUAUAAAGAACAAGGGGAAAUUGAUAUCUAGAUAUAUUAGAGAAAUUAGUAGUUCAAUCUCAUAGAGCAGGUUGGUAGUCGGGUUGGACCGCGUGUUUAAUUUAUGUAAACAGUCGCGUC